GUCAUAUGCUUGUUUCAAAGAUUAAGCCAUGCAUGUCUCAGUGCAAGCCGAAUUAAGGUGAAACCGCGAAAGGCUCAUUAAAUCAGCUAUGAUUCAAUUGAUGGUACGAUCACGGUUACUUGGAUAACUGUGGCAAUUCUAGAGCUAAUACAUGCUAAACGAGUUCCGACCGCGGGUUCGAACGAUCUCGCGGAACGAAUGCUUUUAUUAGAACAAAACCAAUCGGAUCUCAAUCGAGAUCCGCAAAUCUAUGACGAAUCUGAAUAACUUUGAGCUGAUCGCACGGUCUCAUGGAACCGGCGACGCAUCUUUCAAAUGUCUGACUUAUCAACUUUCGAUGGUAGGCUACGCGCCUACCAUGGUGAUAACGGGUGACGGGGAAUCAGGGUUCGAUCCCGGAGAGGGAGCCUGAGAAACGGCUACCACAUCCAAGGAAGGCAGCAGGCGCGCAAAUUACCCACUCCCGGCACGGGGAGGUAGUGACGAAAAAUAACGAUGCAGGACUCUUUUCGAGGCUCUGCAAUCGGAAUGAGAACACUCUAAAUCAUUUAACGAGUAUCCAUUGGAGGGCAAGUCUGGUGCCAGCAGCCGCGGUAAUUCCAGCUCCAAUAGCGUAUAUUAAAGUUGCUGCGGAUAAAAAGCUCGUAGUUUGAUUUGUGUUCCGAGCAGUCGGUACGCCGUUCGUCGGCGGUCAACUGACUCGCGGCGGAACGUCCUGCCGGUUGACGGAGCGGGAGGCGGCGGAGGCGGCGCGAGUCGUCGCCGCCGCCUUGAGUGGUCGGAGGGAAGAGCACCGCGCGAUCUUCGGAUCGCGGCGCGCGCUUCGCGUCCGACGACGUUUCUGCGUCCGUCAGUCAUUGAGAAAAUCCCGUCGCGGCGCUCUUAACCGAGUGACGCGCCGGGCCGGCACGUUUACUUUGAACAAAACUGAGUGCUUAAAGCAGGCCGAACCCAAGCGCCUGAAAGUCGGAUGCAUGGAAUAAUGGAAUAGGGCCUCGGUUCUAUUUUGUUGGUUUUCGGAAUUUCCGAGGCAAUGAUUAAUGGGGACAGGCGGGGGCAUUAGUAUUGCGGCGUUAGAGGUGAAAUUCUUGGAUCGUCGCAAGACUAACCUAAGCGAAAGCAUUUGCCAAGGAUGUUUUCCUUAAUCAAGAACGAAAGUUGGAGGUUCGAAGGCGAUCAGAUACCGCCCUAGUUCUUACCGUAAACUAUGCCGGCUAGCGAUCCGUCGAUGUUCGUUCAGAUGAUUCGGCGGGCAGCUUGAGGGAAACCAAAGCCUUCGGGUUCCGGGGGAAGUAUGGUUGCAAAGCUGAAACUUAAAGGAAUUGACGGAAGGGCACCACCAGGAGUGGAGCUUGCGGCUUAAUUUGACUCAACACGGGAAACCUCACCAGGCCCGGGCACCGGAAGGAUUGACAGAUCAAGAGCUCUUUCUUGAUUCGGUGGGUGGUGGUGCAUGGCCGUUCUUAGUUGGUGGAGCGAUUUGUCUGGUUAAU
rnacentral:rRNA from 1 species